rnacentral:rRNA from 1 species
GAUGAACGCUGGCGGCGUGCCUAAUACAUGCAAGUCGAGCGAACAGACGAGGAGCUUGCUCCUCUGACGUUAGCGGCGGACGGGUGAGUAACACGUGGAUAACCUACCUAUAAGACUGGGAUAACUUCGGGAAACCGGAGCUAAUACCGGAUAACAUGUUGAACCGCAUGGUUCAACAGUGAAAGACGGUUUUGCUGUCACUUAUAGAUGGAUCCGCGUCGCAUUAGCUAGUUGGUAAGGUAACGGCUUACCAAGGCAACGAUGCGUAGCCGACCUGAGAGGGUGAUCGGCCACACUGGAGCUGAGACACGGUCCAGACUCCUACGGGAGGCAGCAGUAGGGAAUCUUCCGCAAUGGGCGAAAGCCUGACGGAGCAACGCCGCGUGAGUGAAGAAGGUCUUCGGAUCGUAAAACUCUGUUAUUAGGGAAGAACAAAUGUGUAAGUAACUAUGCACGUCUUGACGGUACCUAAUCAGAAAGCCACGGCUAACUACGUG